CAAUAGCGUAUAUUAAAGUUGUUGCAGUUAAAAAGCUCGUAGUUGGAUUUCUGGCUGGAGCGAUCGGUCCGCCCCGCAAGGGGUGUGUACUAGCGUCGUCUCCGACCAUCCUUGUGGGAACUGUGCGGCCGUUAACUCGGUUGUAUAUGGGAACACAUCGUUUACUGUGAAAAAAUUAGAGUGUUCAAAGCAAGCUAAAGCUCUGAAUACAUUAGCAUGGAAUAACGCGAGAGGACUCGGUCCUUAUUUUGUUGGUCUUCAAGGAUGGAGUAAUGAUUAAGAGGGACAGUUGGGGGCAUUCGUAUUUCAUUGCUAGAGGUGAAAUUCUUGGAUUUAUGAAAGACGAACUUCUGCGAAAGCAUUUGCCAAGGAUGUUUUCAUUGAUCAAGAACGAAAGUUGGGGGCUCGAAGACGAUUAGAUACCGU
rnacentral:rRNA from 1 species